UUGUUAGCUUGCUCAGACCCUGCAUUCCCCACUAAAGAUAUACUUCUUCCUUAUGCUGAGCUCUCAAGAACAUACACUAAAAUGAGGAACGAAGCUUCUCAGUUGUUGCAUACAGUCGAAACCUACCAUUGUUUUGAUAAGUUAUUAUCGACGACUAAACUCAAUGCGGAUAGCUUGAGUGCUGAUGAGACAAUUGAAUUUGCGUCAACAUUAGCAUUGUGGAAUAAAGACAGUGCUGAAAAGGAAUCCUUAGAAAAGCAAGUUUUUGAAGAUGUGGAGUCAUCUAGGCAACAGCUACUAAGUACUGCUGGCUAUUUAAAAUGUGUCCAGGUACCUGGAAUAUGCUUUGAUUUUCAUGUGUUUCUUAUAUCUUUGGUCUGCUUCACAGGGCAUGUAUAUCAGCAUUUUCGUUUUUGAGGUUGAACCUUUUUAAUCCUUCUUCUGGAUUGCAGAAUAAUUUACAUAUCACAGUCACCUCUCUGAUCGCUGCUGCGGUUGUUUGGAUGUCAGAAUUUCCCUCUAGACUUAAUCCAAUAAUCUUGCCGCUGAUGGCUUCAAUUAAAAGAGAGCAGGUAACAAUUGAAAUUAAAUGUUUGUUUUCAUGUCCGCUGAACUGACCACUGACUCUUUUGUUUUCAGGAACAAAUACUACAACAGAAAGCUGCUGAGGCUCUUGCAGAACUUAUUGCGUACUGCGUAGAUCGGAAGCCUAGCCCUAAUGACAAGUUAAUCAAGAAUAUUUGUAGCUUGACGUGCAUGGAUCCUAGCGAAACACCUCAAGCUAGUAUCAUUAGGUCUAUAGAUAUUGUUGAUGAUCUGGACUUCCUGUCCUCGCGAAGUAACGCAGGAAAACAGAAGUCAAAAGCAGUGUUGGCUGGUGGCGAAGACAGGUCUAAGGUUGAGGGUUUUAUCACCAGGAGAGGAGCUGAACUUGCAUUGAAGCAUUUAAGCAUGAAAUUUGGUGGUUCCUUGUUUGACAAGCUCCCUAAAUUGUGGGAGUGCCUCACUGAGGUUCUUGUUCCUGUAACUCCUGAAGAUCAACAGAACUUUGACCUUAAAAUAGAAUCUGUCUCUGAUCCACAGGUCUUGAUAAACAACAUUCAGGUACACCCAGUGAAGUUUUGCAUAGAUAUGAUUUUUCAAUUUCUUGCGCCAGUAGGGAUGUUUCGCUUGAAUUAUUUGAACGGUUAGUUUUAGGAUUGGCCAUCAUACCUCCUUUAGAUAAAACGAUGAAGCUUGUUAGUUAAUAUGCAGAGCCGUAGCUUGAUGUUUUUUAUUUAAUCUGUUUUUCAGGUUGUACGUUCCGUAGCACCAGUGAUGGAAGAAACUCUGAAACCUAGGUUACUUAGUCUCUUGCCUUGCAUUUUCAAAUGCGUUCGCCAUUCCCAUGUGGCUGUUAGAUUGGCUGCUUCUAGAUGUGUUAUGACAAUGGCUAAAUCAAUGACAACAAAUGUCAUGGCAGCAGUAGUGGAAAAUGCUAUUCCGAUGUUGGGAGAUUUGACAUGCGUAAAUGCUAGACAAGGCGCAGGAAUGCUUAUUGGUUUUAUGCAAUUUUCAGUAAAUGAGCUGGAGCCACUUCGCAAAAGACCUAAGAUUGAGGAUCCAUCAAAAUCAUUUGUUGGUAACACGGUUUUGGAACCUAUGGUGAGUGACUAUGAAAAUAGUGUUAAAGAUGAAGAAGUUGAGUCUUUACUGCCACCAGUGAAGGUCAAUGGUCAAGUUAACUUUAUUUCUACCAAGGAGGAACCUGAAUCUUCUAUCGAUGGCUCAUCAUGUCAGUCUGAUAGAAAUCAUGUUGCAGAGGUUAGCAAUCACGUUGAAGAUAAGAGUUUUGUUGAGAAACCCCUCCUACCUAACAAGAAUCAGGAAGAAAAUAUUGAAGUGUUGGAUUUGGUUAAACAAGCUAGGCAUUCUUGGAUCAAAAAUUUUGAAUUUCUCCAGGAUUGCACCAUUCGUUUCUUAUGUGUGCUUUCACUUGACCGGUAAGACUUUGGUACUCAAUCAUGGAUUUUCUUUUCCAGUAUUAGUUGUUUUUGUUUCAUAGCAUCUUGGGUAACGGUUAUUUAUUAACCUUCCCAUUCUAGCUGAGAUUUGGUUGGGCAUUUCUAAGUUGGUCGUUAUCUUUCCCCUCUAUUGCAGUUUUGGGGAUUAUAUUUCUGAUCAGGUUGUUGCUCCUGUGCGGGAAGCUUGUGCCCAAGCACUUGGUGCUACUUUCAAAUACAUGAGUCCCUCGUUGAUUUAUGAGACAUUAAAUAUCUUGCUUCAGAUGCAGGUAAAUGUUUAAUCUCUUCUUUUUAAAGUCAUUUAAACUAAGAAACUUGUUGCGGUCUCUGUACAUUAUAAAACUGACUGGUAAUUUUAUCCUACAUAUAUAUAUAUCUGUUUAGCGCCGGCCUGAAUGGGAAAUUCGUCAUGGAAGUCUUUUGGGCAUCAAGUACUUGGUUGCUGUACGACAGGUAAAUCUCCCGUACGUGAGAGCUACUUUUAAGAAGUUAACACAUUAUAAAACUGAAAAAAACAUGUUUGGAGUCUUGUUUGCCGUUUCCAUGUACGUAGGACACUUGUUUUUAUAUCAUGAUAUGGGUAGUAUUUUAUUAGUGUCUAAGGUGUAGCGCACUUGAUUUCUUGAGCAUGUUCAGUAUUGACUUUUCUUUCUUUUUCACCCCUGAUUAUUAUGUUAUGCAGGAAAUGCUCCAAGAUUUACUUGGCCAUAUUCUUCCGGCGUGUAAAGCAGGGCUGGAGGAUUCUGAUGACGAUGUUCGAGCGGUUGCCGCGGAUGCUCUUAUACCGGCAGCAGCCGCUAUUGUUUCUUUGAGAGGACAGACGUUACUUUCCAUUGUCAUGUUACUGUGGGAUAUCUUGCUUGAGUUGGAUGACUUAAGUCCAUCCACUAGCAGGUACGCUAGUGAUAAAAUUACAUUCUCUCCUUUCUGCACAAGAUCAAUGUUGAACCAGUAUAAUAUUUCUUGCAGUGUUAUGAACCUCCUGGCAGAGAUCUAUUCUCAAGAUGAUAUGACAGUGGUGAUGCAUGAAGAAUUAUCAGUGGGAGAAGGACAAAAAGUUGAUCUCAAUGAAAUGGCUCACGUCGAGAGUGUUAGAGAAAGAAGAGAUGUUAGGGAAAGCCCUUAUGCGUUAUCUGGUUUAGCCCCUAGGCUGUGGCCAUUUACGAGACACGACAUCACUUCAGUUCGAUUUUCUGCUAUUCGAACUCUGGUGGGUUUCUACUGUUUGUUUUACAGUCAAAUCUCUCUCGAUACUUACUGUCUAUGUUUGUCUCCACUUGCAUAAUUUACAUGUAUCUUGUGCCUUGAGUUUCUCUGGUUUAUUAUAUAUAAAAGAUGUAAAAUCCCUUUUUGAUUACUUCAGAGUACAAUUCUCCUAUAUGUUCCUUUCAUAUGCUUACCACUCGUUCCUAAAUUUAAUUUUCUCUGACAGGAGCGACUACUUGAAGCUGGAUGCAGAAAGAACAUUUCUGAGCAGUCCAAAAGUUCUUUCUGGCCAUCUUCUAUUUUAGGGGAUACCCUAAGAAUCGUCUUUCAGAAUCUUUUGCUUGAAUCAACCGAGGAGAUUCUGGAGUGUUCGGAAAGAGUGUGGAGGCUUUUAGUUCAGGUAUCUAGUAGCAGAAUGUUGCUUUUCUUUCAGCACACCCUUUUUAAAUGUUUUCUACACCCUUUGAAAUAUCGAUUUUCGUUCAUGGUUUACGUUGAACUUUAAUUCAUAGAGUAGGUUUCCCAUUUGCUUGGUGUAUGUGUGGUAUUGCAUACGUAAAUUAUUUGACAUUAAAUCACAGGAUAGUUUGCAUCUGAACCCUUUUAGCAGCUGGAUGUCUUUCUGCUUUUUAAAGUUUACCCAUAACGGAAGUACUUAGACCGUCUCCAACCCACAUCUAUAGUUUUUCUAUAAAAUAGAGCAACUAUAAAAAUAGAGGUGGUAAGGAAUUGGAGUGAAACCCACCCCGUUCCUCUAUUUCGAAGAAAGUUAUACAUGUCGGAUGCGCGAAAUCUGUUGCUGAUUGCUAACGAAUUUGGGUCAUGUAGUAUAGUUACCUGAAAACACGUAAUUUUGUAACUUUUACGACAGCGUUAUUUUUCGUAUUUGGCCCUAAUCUCUUAUUUCUCUUCUUGUUCAGUGCCCAGUGGAAGAUUUGGAAGAAGCUGCAAAAUCAUACAUGGCUUCGUGGAUAGAACUUGCAGCUACUCCUUAUGGCUCAACAUUGGAUGCUACAAAAAUGUUUUGGCCAGUAGCUCCCCCUCGUAUGAGUCAUUUCAAAGCUGCUGCUAAGAUGAAAGCUGUCCAACUUGAGAAUGAAGCUUCCAGCACUCUGGGAUUUGAUUAUGCAAGGAGUUUUGCUUCCCUUGGAAAAAAUGAAGAUGCUUCUGCCAGGUCCACUAAAAUUAUCGUUGGCUCUGAUAUGGAGAUGUCAGUGACUCGCACCCGGGUAGUUACAGCAUCUGCGUUAGGUAUUCUUGCAUCCCGAUUGAGCGAUCGUUCAAUGCAGUUUGUGGUAGAUCCACUGAGUAGUACUCUUACUUCCUUGUCCGGUGUACAGCGCCAGGUAUGCUCUCUCGCUCCCUCAUUAAACGCAUGCUGCAUGUUUUGAACUAAACCUCUGGCUUUGCAGGUUGCGUCGGUUGUGCUUAUCUCUUGGUUCAGAGAAAUUAAAUGCAAGGUCCCUUCCCCUUCUGAUGGAAGUGGAAGUUUGCCUGGUUUUCCUACUCCUCUUAAAAAAUGGAUGCUAGAUUUGUUAGCUUGCUCAGACCCUGCAUUCCCCACUAAAGAUAUACUUCUUCCUUAUGCUGAGCUCUCAAGAACAUACACUAAAAUGAGGAACGAAGCUUCUCAGUUGUUGCAUACAGUCGAAACCUACCAUUGUUUUGAUAAGUUAUUAUCGACGACUAAACUCAAUGCGGAUAGCUUGAGUGCUGAUGAGACAAUUGAAUUUGCGUCAACAUUAGCAUUGUGGAAUAAAGACAGUGCUGAAAAGGAA
rnacentral:lncRNA from 1 species